rnacentral:lncRNA from 7 species
AUAGAUGAAGGCGAACGCAGAUGAAGGAGCACGUAGCUGAAGGUCUUGGCUAUUGCCUUCCCCUGAUCACAGAGCCUUGCCGGUGUGCUGCACUGACUUCUUGAACUGCAGGAUCAAAAAAUACUCCUCCCUUUCUUUUUUGUUUUUGGUGAAGACUGUCUCCGAGAAGGAUAAAUAUUAUUGAUUGAGCCAGCGUUGAGGCAGAAGCUUCAGAAAGAAAUCAACCUUGAGCCAUAGAAUCAUGGAAUUGGAUGGGAACCGCAGGGAUCACCGAGUGCAACCCUUGGCUGUGACCGCUGCCCUAUGGAGUCUGUUCCAUGCCCGUGUUUUCCAUAGGGUUCCCUCAGGUCCUGUUUCUGUCACCAGAGAGCAGAGAUCUGCCCCAUCGUGGAGAAGGGGCAAUAGGUAAGCAUGGAAAGGGCACAGUAGGUCACCAUGGAGAGAUGACUGUAGGAUGCCAUGGAAAGGGGACAAUAGGUCGUCAUGGAGAGAUGGCUGUAGGAUGCCAUGGAAAGGGGACAAUAGGUUGUCAUGGAGAGAUGGCUGUAGGAUGCCAUGGAAAGGGGACAAUAGGUCGUCAUGGAGAGAUGGCUGUAGGAUACCAUGGAGAAGGGGCAAUAGGCCACCGUGAAGAAGGGGCUGUAUGAUGCUGUGGAAAGAUGGCUGUAGGCUGCCCCCUAGAAGGGGCAAUAGGUCAUGACGGAGAGAUGGCUAUAGGCUGCCUUGGCAAAGGGGUUGUAGGCUGCCAUGAGGGAAGGGCAAUAGGUCACCAUGGAGAGAUGGCUGUAGGCUGCCAUCAAGAGGGGCUGUAGGCUGCCAUGAAGAAAGGGCAACAGGUAACCAUGGAGAGGGGACAAUGGAUCACCAUGGAGAGAUGACUUUAGGAUGCCAUGGAGAAGGGGCAAUAGUCCGCCAGGGAGAGGGGUUGUAGGCUGCUAUGGAAAAGGGGCAAUAGGUCACCACGGAGAGGGGCUGUAGGCCACCAUGGAGAGAUGGCUGCUGGCUGCCAUGAAGAAAGAGCAAUAGGCUGCCAUGGAGAAGGAACAAUAGGUCACCAUAGAGAGAUGGCUAUAGGUUGCCAUGGAAAAGGGGCAAUAGGCUGCCAUGGAGAGGGGCUGUAGGCUGCCAUUAGGCCUCCCCUCUUCCUCCUCUGGGCUGCAAAAAGCCUUUCGCUCUCUGCUAAAGGUUACUGCCGUGAAGCUCUGUUCCUUAACCCCGUUGAACAGACAAAGCCCUGUUUUUUUUUUCUCUGCGGUCACUUAAAAACAUUUGCAUGUGGGAUCGCCGAGGCGCUGCCCUGUAAUUGAGAUGCUGGGUGGCAAUCUGCUCCCCUCCUCCGCCUGGAAGUGUUCCACGCAGAACCCUCUAAUUAAACAGAAAAUGGUUUGUCAUG